UUGCUUGCUUAUUUAUUUUUUUAUUGAGAAAGAGUUGUGCGAUGUGGUUCUGGGUGUCUUUGAACUCACUGUGUAGCUCAGGCUAGCCUCAAACUCAUGGCAGUCCUCCCACCUCAGCCUC
rnacentral:miRNA from 1 species